rnacentral:rRNA from 1 species
GAUGAACGCUAGCUACAGGCUUAACACAUGCAAGUCGAGGGGCAGCAUGCUGAUAGCUUGCUAUCAGUGAUGGCGACCGGCGCACGGGUGAGUAACGCGUAUCCAACCUGCCUGUCACUCAGGAAUAGCCCGGUGAAAACCGGAUUAAGUCCUGAUGAUAUCAUUAGAGGGCAUCUGACGAUGAUUAAAGGUUACGGUGACGGAUGGGGAUGCGUCUGAUUAGCUUGUUGGCGGGGUAACGGCCCACCAAGGCGACGAUACAUAGGGGGACUGAGAGGUUAACCCCCCCACACUGGUACUGAGACACGGACCAGACUCCUACGGGAGGCAGCAGUGAGGAAUAUUGGUCAAUGGACGCAAGUCUGAACCAGCCAUGCCGCGUGCAGGAAGACGGCUCUAUGAGUUGUAAACUGCUUUUGUACAAGGGUAAACCCUGGGACGUGUCCCAGGCUGAAAGUACUGUACGAAUAAGGAUCGGCUAACUCCG